rnacentral:lncRNA from 1 species
GUGAGGCCCGCGGCGAGUAGAUAGCUGGGAUUGGAAAGCUAUCUCCUUAGUAAUAAUUUUAUUUCUUCAGUUUCGUGGGUUUUUUUGGUAGCGUUUUGGUGAACGCGGGGGUUGGAGCGGCCGCCUCCCGCUCUGUGAGGGAACGGCUGUGGGCUCCGCUGUGCGGGACCCUCCGUCGGCCUUUGUGCCCGUAGCAAAGCACUGCGUGCUGCGAGGCGUGGCUGAAGCCAACAGGUGCGAACUCAAGUGUUAAAGUAGAUUAAGAAUACAUCUCAGAUCAAAUUCCUUCUCCAGAAGAAGCGGUGCUGCUCAGUUUUUCUGGCAGGAUAGUUUUCCUGUUUGUUUUUCUCAUCAGCUGCGGCACCCCAGAAAUAACUGCGGUGCCUUUCGCUUCUGCUGCCAUUUUGGAGCUGCUUCCCAGAGAGAGGAGAUGAGGUUCCACUUGUAGGAAUUCCCUCCCCCCAUGGCAGGACAGGCGCUAUCAGAACCAGGAGGUGUGCUGGAGGAGGAUUGCUUUGCUCCUGGCUGAUGGACUAAAGUAAACAUAGAGAAAAAGGUGCACACAGUCAUCAUUGUCAUCAGCAACUGGAGAUGGACUAGAAGAAUGUAACGGAGCACACAUCUGGCAGCGUGACAUUAUUCCUAUGGGGUGCAAUGUGCCCUCUGUGCACGGAAUCAUCACUGUGGAUUUCUGCUUCAGUCCUGUGGGCAUGAGCUGUACUGUGUGUGCACUGAGGAGAGCCAGAAAGGAGCACGGAGUCAUCACCUGAGGGGAAACAAAAUUCAGAAACGAGGAGGGGAAAUUUCGGUGCUUAUUUUUAGACUCUGUGGAGAGAAGAGAAGCAAGACCCAGGAGAGGAGCAGCAUUCUGCGUGCAGGUCACAGGUGCUAAAAAGGAGAAAGGUACGCUCUUUUGUUUUCUUUACUUUGUUCAAAGUGCAAACGUUCCUAAGCUUGGGUUACAGAGAGACAAUACACUUGUCUUCCUCAAUGGAGUGGCCACUACUUACGCAUCUACCUAUAAACCACCUCCCCAUAUACAGUCUCAUAAUUACCAAUUUUAUUUUUACUGCUCCUGGACUGGAUCUUGCCACUACUUGGAGCACAGUAAAAUCUCUCAGUAACCUCAUGUAUGG